rnacentral:tRNA from 1 species
AAUGAAGUGCCUGAAAAAAAGGGCUAUUUUGAUAGAAUAGACCAUGCAAAUUUUGUCUUCGUUA